AGGUCACUGCUAUCGGGGUUCGACUAAGCCAUGCAAGUCGAGAGGGGUCAAGCCCUCGGCGUACUGCUCAGUAACACGUGGAUAACCUGCCCUGAGGAAGGGGAUAAUCCCGGGAAACUGGGGAUAAUACCCUAUAGGCUACCGAUGCUGGAAUGCGCGGUAACCCAAAGCUCCGGCGCCUCAGGAUGGGUCUGCGGCCGAUUAGGUUGUUGUUGGGGUAACGGCCCAACAAGCCGGUAAUCGGUACGGGUUGUGGGAGCAAGAGCCCGGAGAAGGAUUCUGAGACAUGAAUCCAGGCCCUACGGGGCGCAGCAGGCGCGAAAACUUUACAAUGCGGGAAACCGUGAUAAGGGAACCCCGAGUGCCUGUAACCACAGGCUGUUCAGGUGUUUAAAAACCAUCUGGAGAAAGGGCCGGGCAGGACCGGUGCCAGCCGCCGCGGUAAUACCGGCGGCUCGAGUGGUGGCCACUAUUACUGGGCUUAAAGCGUCCGUAGCCGGGUUGUUAAGUCUCUUGGGAAAUCCAGCGGCUCAACCGUUGGGCGUUCAAGGGAUACUGGCAAUCUAGGGACCGGGGGAGGUGAGAGGUACUCUAGGGGUAGGAGUGAAAUCCUGUAAUCCUUGGGGGACCACCUGUGGCGAAGGCGUCUCACCAGAACGGCUCCGACGGUGAGGGACGAAAGCUGGGGGAGCAAACCGGAUUA
rnacentral:rRNA from 1 species